GAUGAACGCUGGCGGCGUGCUUAACACAUGCAAGUCGAACGAUGAUCCCUAGCUUGCUGGGGGGAUUAGUGGCGAACGGGUGAGUAACACGUGAGUAACCUGCCCUUGACUCUGGGAUAAGCCUGGGAAACUGGGUCUAAUACUGGAUACGACCUUCCAUCGCAUGGUGGUUGGUGGAAAGCUUUUGUGGUUUUGGAUGGACUCGCGGCCUAUCAGCUUGUUGGUGGGGUAAUGGCCUACCAAGGCGACGACGGGUAGCCGGCCUGAGAGGGUGGACGGCCACACUGGGACUGAGACACGGCCCAGACUCCUACGGGAGGCAGCAGUGGGGAAUAUUGCACAAUGGGCGCAAGCCUGAUGCAGCGACGCCGCGUGAGGGAUGAAGGCCUUCGGGUUGUAAACCUCUUUCAGUAGGGAAGAAGCGAAAGUGACGGUACCUGCAGAAGAAGCGCCGGCUAACUACGUGCCAGCAGCCGCGGUAAU
rnacentral:rRNA from 1 species